AUACUUGCCUGGCAGGGGAGACACCAUGACCACAAAGGUGGUUUUCCCAGGGCGAGGCUUCUCCAUGUCACUCUGGAUGUGCUGACCCCUUGAUUUCCCCAAAUGUGGGAAGCUCAGCUGCAUAAUUUGUGGUAAUGAGGACUGCUUUCACGCUCUCCCCU
ensembl:snRNA U1 U1 spliceosomal RNA